UACGGAGGGUGCGAGCGUUAAUCGGAAUUACUGGGCGUAAAGCGCGCGUAGGUGGCUUGAUAAGCCGGUUGUGAAAGCCCCGGGCUCAACCUGGGAACGGCAUCCGGAACUGUCAAGCUAGAGUGCAGGAGAGGAAGGUAGAAUUCCCGGUGUAGCGGUGAAAUGCGUAGAGAUCGGGAGGAAUACCAGUGGCGAAGGCGGCCUUCUGGACUGACAUUGACACUGAGGUGCGAAAGCGUGGGUAGCAAACAGG
rnacentral:rRNA from 1 species